AUGAAAGAUUUGGAGCUUUGGUUUUUUGGUGAAGUAACGAUUGAAGGAGAUAUUAAAUUGUUGUUUGUGAUAGCAAGUGGCUUGCCUACAACAGAGGACUUUGAGCAUGUCACUUAUUUGGAAAUAUUGAAGGCUCCACCUAUCCCCAUAGGAAUUGCCUAA
rnacentral:rRNA from 1 species